rnacentral:rRNA from 1 species
GAUGAACGCUGGCGGCGUGCCUAAUACAUGCAAGUCGAGCGAACAGACGAGGAGCUUGCUCCUCUGACGUUAGCGGCGGACGGGUGAGUAACACGUGGAUAACCUACCUAUAAGACUGGGAUAACUUCGGGAAACCGGAGCUAAUACCGGAUAAUAUAUUGAACCGCAUGGUUCAAUAGUAAAAGACGGUUUUGCUGUCACUUAUAGAUGGAUCCGCGCCGCAUUAGCUAGUUGGUAAGGUAACGGCUUACCAAGGCAACGAUGCGUAGCCGACCUGAGAGGGUGAUCGGCCACACUGGAACUGAGACACGGUCCAGACUCCUACGGGAGGCAGCAGUAGGGAAUCUUCCGCAAAGGGCGAAAGCCUGACGGAGCAACGCCGCGUGAGUGAUGAAGGUCUUCGGAUCGUAAAACUCUGUUAUUAGGGAAGAACAAAUGUGUAAGUAACUAUGCACGUCUUGACGGUACCUAAUCAGAAAGCCACGGCUAACUACGUG